rnacentral:rRNA from 1 species
UACGGGGGGGGCAAGCGUUGUUCGGAAUUACUGGGCGUAAAGGGCUCGUAGGCGGCCAACUAAGUCAGACGUGAAAUCCCUCGGCUUAACCGGGGAACUGCGUCUGAUACUGGAUGGCUUGAGUUUGGGAGAGGGAUGCGGAAUUCCAGGUGUAGCGGUGAAAUGCGUAGAUAUCAGGAGGAACACCUAUGGCGAAGGCAGCUCGCUGGGACGGUACUGACGCUGAGGCGCGGAAAGCGUGGGGAGCGAACAGG